rnacentral:lncRNA from 1 species
AUUAGAUUUCCAGUACAUCAGUGGUUUCUUGUCCGAUUACUAUGCUUUGAUUUCAUGCUAUAUUCUUGCUGCUGUCUUCCUUGGUCUCUGGAGCAGAUUCUACAUGUGAGAGGCAGUAGAGAGCUAAUAGUACAAGUACCUUGUUUUUUCCUGGGAGUGUUAAGAAAUGGGGUCUUGUUUCUAAUAUAUUCAUUUUGGAUACCUAGAUCUAUCACCAUAAAAGAAUUCAACACUCUAUAUCUGUAUGCCAUCUAAGUAUUUACAAACCCUGAUAUGAUAAGAGUGCUCACUAAUUUUAAUUUUUAUAAAAAUAAUUGUGCUGCUUCCCAACCUCAUUUUCCUAGAACUGUGCAUAUGAAGCACAUGGAAGUAAGGCUGUAAUGAUGGAAGUCCAGUUGGAGAGGAAGCAAACGUCUCUGCUCUCUUUUUAAGUGUCCUCCCUGACUACGUUCUGCCAUAAUGAAAGAGAAAUCAGGAUGCUGAGCUCUAGCACCCAUGGCUUCUCAAUCACCCUUUAUCAUACACAACCUGUUACAGUUAUGUUUGAUUUUUCAGUACCCAAGAACUAAAUUCUAAUAUAAAUAUGUUAGACUGAGUGUCUUCCAGACUUAGCCUAUGGGAAGAAAAUGAGUUCUACAUUAGAGGAGUUGUUACAGAUUAUAAAUUGUAAAUAAUGAUUAGAUCAUAUUAAUUUUGUAUUCAUGAGCUUUCAGGUUAUUUUAUAGCAUUUUUCUCUCUGUACAUUCUAUAGCCUCUGUAUGUAACAGCAACAAACUUUGAUAUGGUGAAUGACAUAAUCAGCAAGUUACUACCAAUGAUAAGAAAGCAUGCAUGAGUAUCCGCAUGACUUUAGAAUGAUAAAUAUUCAAAAGAACUUCAGUUCCCGGGACUUAAGAAAUUUUACAGCUUUUCCUUCCCUACCUGGGGUAAUCAUGAAAUGCCUAAAUGCUGAUGUACAUGGGAAAUUCAUCUUGAAGCCCAGAAACUCAGCAAGAAGCCAGCAGCAAAAGAGUGAGUCUGCCAUCUUCCUUCAGGUGGCUUUUCUUAGUUCCCAUUUUAAUUUGUCAUAAAAUAUCGUAGCAUACUAUCAUUUUCUUGCUUAGGAAAGGGGCACUGUAAAAACAAACAAACAAACAAACAAACAAACAAAACAAAC